AAAUAAAUAAAUUACAAGGCUAUCCUUUACUAAGAGCCCCAGGACUGCAUUAAGCUUUUGAAUCACUUGGAUUGCAACUCCAACUGGCCAUGACUGGUGAAAACUGCAGCCAUUUUUUUUUUGCCAUGCUAAGAUUCUAACAUUUGGAAUUUUUCAGAACUUUUCAUCAAGGACUUUUGUAGAGAGGAGUGUAUGAGUUCUGUUAAAUAAAUACAAAAGACUGAUUAUCACUCCAAAAAAA